AUUGAACGCUGGCGGCAUGCCUUACGCAUGCAAGUCGAACGGUAACAGGGAGCUUGCUCCGCUGACGAGUGGCGAACGGGUGAGUAAUGUAUCGGAACGUACCUUUUAGUGGGGGAUAACGUAGCGAAAGUUACGCUAAUACCGCAUAUUCUCUGAGGAGGAAAGCAGGGGACCUUCGGGCCUUGCGCUAAUAGAGCGGCUGAUAUCAGAUUAGCUAGUUGGUGAGGUAAAGGCUCACCAAGGCGACGAUCUGUAGCGGGUCUGAGAGGAUGAUCCGCCACAAUGGAACUGAGACACGGUCCAGACUCCUACGGGAGGCAGCAGUGGGGAAUUUUGGACAAUGGGGGCAACCCUGAUCCAGCCAUGCCGCGUGAGUGAAGAAGGCCUUCGGGUUGUAAAGCUCUUUCGGCCGGGAAAAAAUCGCAUGGGUUAAUACCCUGUGUGGAUGAUGGUACCGGAAUAAGAAGCACCGGCUAACUACGUGCCAGCAGCCGCCGUAAGAC
rnacentral:rRNA from 1 species